rnacentral:rRNA from 1 species
UGGGGAAUAUUGCACAAUGGGCGCAAGCCUGAUGCAGCAACGCCGCGUGAGGGACGACGGCCUUCGGGUUGUAAACCUCUUUUAGUAGGGAAGAAGCGAAAGUGACGGUACCUGCAGAAAAAGCACCGGCUAACUACGUGCCAGCAGCCGCGGUAAUACGUAGGGUGCGAGCGUUGUCCGGAAUUAUUGGGCGUAAAGAGCUCGUAGGCGUCUGUCGCGUCUGCUGUGAAAACCCGAGGCUCAACCUCGGGCCUGCAGUGGGUACGGGCGACUAGAGUGCGGUAGGGGGAGAAUGGAAUUCCUGGGUGUAGCGGUGGAAUGCGCAGAUAUCAGGAGGAACACCGAUGGCGAAGGCAGUUCUCUGGGCCGUAACUGACGCUGAGGAGCGAAAGCGUGGGGAGCGAACAGGAUUAGAUACCCUGGUAGUCCACGCCGUAAACGUUGGGCGCUAGAUGUGGGGACCAUUCCACGGUUUCCGUGUCGCAGCUAACGCAUUAAGCGCCCCGCCUGGGGGAGUACGGCCGC